GACGAACGCUGGCGGCGUGCCUAAUACAUGCAAGUAGGACGCAGAUGCGAACGGGUGAGUAACGCGUAGGUAACUAACUAUUAGAGGGGGAUAACUAUUGGAAACGAUAGCUAAUACCGCAUACUAGUAGAUGGACCUGCGUUGUAUUAGCUAGUAGGUAGGGUAAUGGCCUACCUAGGCAACGCUACAUAGCCUACCCGGGAGGGUGAUCGGGCCACCUGGGACGUAGACCAGGCCCAGAAUCCUACGGGGGGCAACAGUAGGGGAGUAUCGGCAAUUGGGGGAACCCUGACCGCGCAACGCCGCGUGGGCGGAGAAGGGUUUCGGGUCGUAAAGCUCUGUUGUUAAGGAAGCGGUACUUAACCAGAAAGGGACGGCUAACUACGUGCCAGCAGCCGCGGUAAUUC
rnacentral:rRNA from 1 species